CGGCACCGGGAGACGCGGGACGGGCGGUCUCGGCCCGCAGCAGCCGCCUCAGGAGCCGCGGCCCCGCUCGAACGGCCCGUCACGGGAGCCGCGGUCCGGCAGCGCCCGCUCCGCUCCGAACAGAACUCCCCGGCCGCGCCACCCUUCUGAGGGAUCCGCUGCUUUAGCGAGAAUCCCUCCCUUGAAAAUCCCUCCCGCAUCCGCGCCCCGCUUUCGGAGAGGCUCGUGUGGCUCGGCGAGGAAGGAGGGGUUUUUGUGAAGUGACAAGGUGGAAAGUGCUCACCCCUCGUUUCACCUUUGGAAGGUACAUGAAUGAUGCAUGCAGGACAACAUCAUGUUCCCAGGACAGCAGGGAGCUGUGUCAGCUUCCUCUGGGUGCUCCUCGUAAUCUUUGGCCUCAGCUUGCCAGCAUCCCUCUGUUCCACUGCUGGCCUUUCCUGAGCUGAAAAGAUUCCUCACUUCAGAAUGUGAAAUGAAUUUUCAAUCAUGUUUCUGUCGGGUUGACAAGGUGAAAUCAUCAAUUGCUAUGACCAAAUCAAGGUUAGAGUUUAUUAAAGCAAUUGGGUGGUAUUGUAUUGCCCAUACAACAAGGAAUUCCACACAAAAAUCAAACAUGCUGGUUCAGCUUCAAGUAAGGAUUUCUACAGCAUAAUGGCACACCAGCUCCUUGUGGUUAUUAUAACCCCACUUAUCAGUCUUCCUGUGGGCUCCUUUUAUUUUCUCCAUGUUAGUCUUGCUUAUGAUUAUGUCAUAUUAGUUAAUAAUGUCUUACUCAAGCACCUGACACUUCUUUUCUGCAGUCACUGGUUUUAGCCAAUUUGGUUGCAGGGAUCAGGCCAAACAGCUGAUCCUGUGGUUUACCCAUAGGGAAAAGGGAACUACUAUUUCAUGCAGUAGAAAACACGCAAAUUUCUUUGUUGAUAUUUGUAGAUCUAGAUUUCUGCAUUCAGCCAAGGUAUCUGACAAGAAACUUGUCUAGGACUGGAUGCAUAAUGUUGAAAAUUGAAAUGAAGAGGUUCCUUCACAGAACUCCCUUAGGUGAAAAGAGUAGAUUCUUAUCACUGUCCCCAUUUAAUCUCUAAUCCUGAUUAACAACUGAUUUUGUGGUGCUCAUUUAGUAUGAUAGCAAGUGCUAUCAGUCAUAUUACAGCUUUUUCAAUUAAUUUAAUAAUUUCCCAUAGGAAUACACAUACAUCGAAUAAUUUCUCAGAAUGUUGGCAGCUUUUCCAAAAUGUUUCAAAUAAAUCACAUUUUUGCCCUUCUGA